rnacentral:rRNA from 1 species
GACGAACGCUGGCGGCGUGCCUAAUACAUGCAAGUAGAGCGCUGAAGAGAGGAGCUUGCUCUUCUUGGAUGAGUUGCGAACGGGUGAGUAACGCGUAGGUAACCUGCCUUGUAGCGGGGGAUAACUAUUGGAAACGAUAGCUAAUACCGCAUAACAAUGGAUGACACAUGUCAUUUAUUUGAAAGGGGCAAUUGCUCCACUACAAGAUGGACCUGCGUUGUAUUAGCUAGUAGGUGAGGUAACGGCUCACCUAGGCGACGAUACAUAGCCGACCUGAGAGGGUGAUCGGCCACACUGGGACUGAGACACGGCCCAGACUCCUACGGGAGGCAGCAGUAGGGAAUCUUCGGCAAUGGGGGCAACCCUGACCGAGCAACGCCGCGUGAGUGAAGAAGGGUUUCGGAUCGUAAAGCUCUGUUGUAAGUCAAGAACGAGUGUGAGAGUGGAAAGUUCACACUGUGACGGUAGCUUACCAGAAAGGGACGGCUAACUACGUG